AUUGAACGCUGGCGGCAUGCCUUACACAUGCAAGUCGAACGGCAGCACGGGAGCAAUCCUGGUGGCGAGUGGCGAACGUGUGAGUAAUACAUCGGAACGUGCCCAGUAGUGGGGGAUAACCCGGCGAAAGCCGGACUAAUACCGCGUACGACCUACGGGUGAAAGCAGGGGAUCGCAAGACCUUGCGCUAUCGGAGCGGCCGAUGUCAGAUUAGCUAGUUGGGGGGUAAAGGCCUACCAAGGCGACGAUCUGUAGCUGGUCUGAGAGGACGACCAGCCACACUGGGACUGAGACACGGCCCAGACUCCUACGGGAGGCAGCAGUGGGGAAUUUUGGACAAUGGGCGCAAGCCUGAUCCAGCCAUGCCGCGUGCGGGAAGAAGGCCU
rnacentral:rRNA from 1 species